UAAGUUAAUAAGGGCGCACGGUGGAUGCCUUGGCACUAGGAGCCGACGAAGGACGUGACAAACGACGAUAUGCCUUGGGUAGCUGUAAGUAAGCGAUGAUCCAGGGAUUUCCGAAUGGGGGAACCCAACAGGUAAUACCUGUUACCUACAUCUGUUAAGGAUGUGAGGAGGAAGACGCAGUGAACUGAAACAUCUAAGUAGCUGCAGGAAGAGAAAGCAAAAGCGAUUGCCUUAGUAGCGGCGAGCGAAACGGCAGAAGGGCAAACCGAAGAGUUUACUCUUCGGGGUUGUAGGACUGCAAUGUGGACUCAAAGAUUAUAGAAGAAUGAUUUGGGAAGAUCAGCCAAAGAGAGUAAUAGCCUCGUAUUUAAAAUAGUCUUUGUACUUAGCAGUAUCCUGAGUACGGCGGGACACGUGAAAUCCCGUCGGAAUCUGGGAGGACCAUCUCCCAACCCUAAAUACUCCCUAGUGACCGAUAGUGAACCAGUACCGUGAGGGAAAGGUGAAAAGCACCCCGGGAGGGGAGUGAAAUAGAACCUGAAACCGUGUGCCUACAACAAGUUCGAGCCCGUUAAUGGGUGAGAGCGUGCCUUUUGUAGAAUGAACCGGCGAGUUACGUUAUGAUGCGAGGUUAAGUUGAAGAGGCGGAGCCGUAGGGAAACCGAGUCUGAAUAGGGCGCCUUAGUAUCAUGACGUAGACCCGAAACCAUGUGACCUACCCAUGAGCAGGUUGAAGGUGCGGUAAGACGCACUGGAGGACCGAACCAGGGCACGUUGAAAAGUGCUUGGAUGACUUGUGGGUAGCGGAGAAAUUCCAAACGAACUUGGAGAUAGCUGGUUCUCUCCGAAAUAGCUUUAGGGCUAGCGUCGACAUUAGAGAUUCUUGGAGGUAGAGCACUGUUUGGGUGAGGGGUCCAUCCCGGAUUACCAAUCUCAGAUAAACUCCGAAUGCCAAUGAAUUAUGGUCGGCAGUCAGACUGCGAGUGCUAAGAUCCGUAGUCGAAAGGGAAACAGCCCAGACCACCAGCUAAGGUCCCAAAAUAAUUGUUAAGUGGAAAAGGAUGUGGGGUUGCACAGACAACUAGGAUGUUAGCUUAGAAGCAGCUAUUCAUUCAAAGAGUGCGUAAUAGCUCACUAGUCGAGUGACCCUGCGCCGGAAAUGUACCGGGGCUAAAACAAUUUACCGAAGCUGUGGAUACCUUUAUAGGUAUGGUAGGAGAGCGUUCUAUGUGUGAUGAAGGUAUACCGUGAGGAGUGCUGGAACGCAUAGAAGUGAGAAUGCCGGUAUGAGUAGCGAAAGACAGGUGAGAAUCCUGUCCACCGUAAGACUAAGGUUUCCAGGGGAAGGCUCGUCCGCCCUGGGUUAGUCGGGACCUAAGGAGAGACCGAAAGGUGUAUCCGAUGGACAACAGGUUGAUAUUCCUGUACUAGAGUAUGUAGUGAUGGAGGGACGCAGUAGGCUAACUAAAGCAGACGAUUGGAAGAGUCUGUCUAAGCAGUGAGGUGUGAAUUGAGUCAAAUGCUUAAUUCUAUAACAUUGAGCUGUGAUGGGGAGCGAAGUUUAGUAGCGAAGUUAGUGACGUCACACUGCCAAGAAAAGCUUCUAGCGUUUAAACAUACUCUACCCGUACCGCAAACCGACACAGGUAGUCGAGGCGAGUAGCCUCAGGUGAGGAGAGAACUCUCGUUAAGGAACUCGGCAAAAUGACCCCGUAACUUCGGGAGAAGGGGUGCUGACUUUAAGUCAGCCGCAGUGAAUAGGCCCAAGCAACUGUUUAUCAAAAACACAGCUCUCUGCUAAAUCGUAAGAUGAUGUAUAGGGGGUGACGCCUGCCCGGUGCUGGAAGGUUAAGAGGAGUGCUUAGCGUAAGCGAAGGUAUGAAUUGAAGCCCCAGUAAACGGCGGCCGUAACUAUAACGGUCCUAAGGUAGCGAAAUUCCUUGUCGGGUAAGUUCCGACCCGCACGAAAGGCGUAAUGAUUUGGGCACUGUCUCAACGAGAGACUCGGUGAAAUUUUAGUACCUGUGAAGAUGCAGGUUACCCGCGACAGGACGGAAAGACCCCAUGGAGCUUUACUGCAGUUUGAUAUUGAGUGUCUGAACCACAUGUACAGGAUAGGUAGGAGUCUAAGAGAUCGGGACGCCAGUUUCGAAGGAGACGCUGUUGGGAUACUACCCUUGUGUUAUGGCCACUCUAACCCAGAUAGGUGAUCCCUAUCGGAGACAGUGUCUGACGGGCAGUUUGACUGGGGCGGUCGCCUCCUAAAAGGUAACGGAGGCGCCCAAAGGUUCCCUCAGAAUGGUUGGAAAUCAUUCGCAGAGUGUAAAGGUAUAAGGGAGCUUGACUGCGAGAGCUACAACUCGAGCAGGGACGAAAGUCGGGCUUAGUGAUCCGGUGGUUCCGUAUGGAAGGGCCAUCGCUCAACGGAUAAAAGCUACCCUGGGGAUAACAGGCUUAUCUCCCCCAAGAGUUCACAUCGACGGGGAGGUUUGGCACCUCGAUGUCGGCUCGUCGCAUCCUGGGGCUGUAGUCGGUCCCAAGGGUUGGGCUGUUCGCCCAUUAAAGCGGCACGCGAGCUGGGUUCAGAACGUCGUGAGACAGUUCGGUCCCUAUCCGUCGCGGGCGUAGGAAAUUUGAGAGGAUCUGCUCUUAGUACGAGAGGACCAGAGUGGACUUACCGCUGGUGUACCAGUUGUCUUGCCAAAGGCAUCGCUGGGUAGCUAUGUAGGGAAGGGAUAAACGCUGAAAGCAUCUAAGUGUGAAACCCACCUCAAGAUGAGAUUUCCCAUGAUUAUAUAUCAGUAAGAGCCCUGAGAGAUGAUCAGGUAGAUAGGUUAGAAGUGGAAGUGUGGCGACACAUGUAGCGGACUAAUACUAAUAGCUCGAGGACUUAUCCA
rnacentral:rRNA from 1 species